CCUACGGGAGGCAGCAGUGAGGAAUAUUGGUCAAUGGUCGCGAGCCUGAACCAGCCAAGUAGCGUGAAGGAGGACUGCCCUACGGGUUGUAAACUUCUUUUAUAAAGGAAUAAAGUGAGGCACGUGUGCCUUGUUGUAUGUACUUUAUGAAUAAGGAUCGGCUAACUCCGUGCCAGCAGCCGCGGUAAUACGGAGGAUCCGAGCGUUAUCCGGAUUUAUUGGGUUUAAAGGGAGCGUAGAUGGGUUGUUAAGUCAGUGGUGAAAGUUUGCGGCUCAACCGUAAGAUUGCCAUUGAUACUGGCAGUCGUGAGUACAGUUGAGGUAUGCGGAAUGCGCGGUGUAGCGGUGAAAUGCAUAGAUAUCACGAAGAACUCCGAUUGCGAAGGCAGCUUACCA
rnacentral:rRNA from 1 species